rnacentral:lncRNA from 1 species
AGUUGGUUUACAUAGUUGAGAAAAAAAAUGAGUUGAAGAGAGAACUUUACCGUAUGAAUUCUUGCAGCUGGGUAAAGAUGAUUGUGAAUGAGGAAAGAUCAUUUAAAGAAAAAAAAUGAGUUAACAGUUGAAUGGAUUGAUGAGUAGUGUAGCAGCAUGGGUUGUGAAUAGGGCAGCUGGGCUGAAAUAUUUGACGGGAUGAGAUUUGAUG